rnacentral:tRNA from 1 species
GGGGCAUGGGACUGCUUGAUGUGGUCACCUGACUUGCAAUCAGGAAAUCAGCGGGGUUUGAAUCCCCGAUGCUCCA